AGUGAACGCUGGCGGUAGGCCUAACACAUGCAAGUCGAACGGCAGCACCGUAAGAGCUUGCUCUUACGGGUGGCGAGUGGCGGACGGGUGAGGAAUACAUCGGAAUCUACUUUUUCGUGGGGGAUAACGUAGGUAAACUUACGCUAAUAUCGCAUACGACCUACGGGUGAAAGCAGGGGAUCUUCGGACCUUGCGCGAUUGAAUGAGCCGAUGUCGGAUUAGCUAGUUGGCGGGGUAAAGGCCCACCAAGGCGACGAUCCGUAGCUGGUCUGAGAGGAUGAACAGCCACACUGGGACUGAGACACGGUCCAGACUCCUACGGGAGGCAGCCGUGGGGAAUAUUGGACCAUGGGCGCAAGCCUGAUCCAGCCAUACCGCGUGGGUGAAGAAGGCCUUCGCGUUGUAGAGCCCUUUUGUUGGGAAAGAAAAGCAGCAGGUUAAUACCCCGCUGUUCUGACGGUACCCAAAGAAUAAGCACCGGCUAACCUCGUC
rnacentral:rRNA from 1 species